CACCCCGCCCCGUCCGCCCGCCGCCGCCGCGCGGGGUGCGCAGCCCGGAGAGCAGCUCCGCGCGCCCGCAGCCCGGACCUCCCGGGGGCGCGGGCGGGAUCCCGCCGCCACCGCCGCGCGUAAGUGGGGGCGGGGGCGGGGGCCCCGCACUUUCCGCCGCGGCUGCCAACUCCGGGCCCCCGUCCCCGCGGCCGCCGGAUGCUCCUCCGCGGAACCGGCCCCGGACGCCGCCCGCUAACUCGGAGCCCGGCCCCUGGCGGCGCGGGGACAGCCCAGGGUGCAAGGCCGAGGCUGGGCGAGCGCGCGCCCUGCGAUCGGGCCAGGAGCACCCCCCCUCCAGCGCCGUGUGCCCCCAGGUUUGUUUGAAAGUGGCCAGAAGCAGCGAUCGCCCCCCUGCCUCACCCCCCCACUCCUCUCUCCUCGGACUAUUGUUGCAUUUCGCGUCUAACUGGGUUCGCUCACACCCCCGAGCGCCGAGAGGAGGAGGGGGAGCGGGGCUGGGAGAAGAAAUAAAGCGAGCUCAGAUCGGAAGAAAAAAAAAAAAAAGCAGCAAGGAAAAAGAGACACUUAAAGGGAAAGAGUCGCCAUGUUUAGCAGCUUUUUUAAAGAUCUCGUCAAUUUCACACAGAACGCGCCCGCUCGGUUCCAGCCCUCGCCUUUUGUCCGAUUCAGUCGCAGCAAAAGAUCUUUUGUUCUAACUCAGCGUGAAAAGAAAAACUUUCUUUAAAUGCAAUAAACUUAAACCAGGCUCAAGAAUCUAAACAGAUCCUCCUCCGGGCCGCUCUCAACACAGACAAGAGGUUUUGUUUUAACCGUUUGAGAAAUGUGGGGAACUGUUUGGCUGCCUCGCAGACACCCCCGUCUGCUGCAACUCAAGAGACCGAGAGAGGACACAACCCCGGCGCCUAGGACCCAUGCUGGAAGCAGAAUAAAACAGGCACCGUCUUUGGCUUGGAAAAAUCAUAAAUUAUCAUUUAAUGCCAAUAAUAAUUUACAACAAAUGGCUGUUUACAAGAAGCUAACACAAAACAAGGCAGGGGCCGGGCCUGUGUGUGACUUUAACUGGACCAACUUCACACACUCUGCAUGGACAGCACUUAACAAGGAACCACAGAACCUCGACCCAAAAGGUCAGGGCUCUUCUGCCCAAGAACAUGCUUAGAGUCAUGUAUGUGCGGAGCUACCCAAGGAAGCAGAGGGUGCGAUGGGGACCUGCCCAGAUGCUCACAUCACACCAGAGUCCUGCUCUACAUGCACCGCCUGGCACCUGAGUCUCCAAGUUUAAUAGACUUUGCAAAAUGACCCCUUUUCUUUCUCCUCCCCUCCCCACCCCGUUUUUAAAUUAAACCACAACACAGGGAAAUGGGGGGUGGGGUGCUGGAGAGACAGCCUCAACAAGAACAAAAUUGCAAGCUCCCAGGAGCUGAGCUUUCUCCACACCGGGAAAGGGGGGUGGGGUGGGGAGGCGGGAAGAGACUCCCAGACAAAAUAGCCCCUACUUCCACUCAGCACACCCUGUCAGUCAAGUUUCCUUCCUUCCUUCCUUCUCUCUCUCCCUCUCUCUCUCUCCUUUUUCUUAAUUUGGCUCCUCAGGACCAAGGGUCCCAUGAGCAGUGCGUCCACACGGUCUGAAAUGUCAGGAUGUCCAUGAGUUUUCAGGCACACAACGCCAGUGGCCCUGGGUCAGGCCCUCCCGGAAGAGGGGAGGGGACAGGCAGUUGUCACAUAGACAGUGAAAGCAGACCCCUCAGCACAGCAUUCAAAAUCCUCUCAACAGCUACGCUAGAUAAGAACCACAGAAUAUAUAUAUAUUUUUUAAAAUCACACCUACUUCAGGAAAAACUCCUUGCACACAGUCUCCUGCGUCAGAAAUGUACAAAACACUAUUUUUUUUUCUGAUCAUAAAAUAGAUACUGAUCUCCAGAUUUCUAAGACUUUGUACAAUACCUUCUCUUCCCUAAGCAGGCACUUCAGUGUGACAAAUAUAAGGGCCUUUAUUUUUUUUUUCCUGGAAAAUCCAUUUUUAAUUAAAAAGAGGAUUAGGGGAAGGGGGGUGGUUUGCCAAAUCAGGAUGGCACUUCCUAAAACCAUAGAUAAACCAUUAACUUCAGCUUCCCCUCCCCCCCCCACAUUCCCAAAUUAAGCAGGCAAUAACACUGGUCCACUUUGGAACAAACUGAGGAUCGUAAACAAGUGUGCCCUCCAGCCCCACUGGGGACAGCUUUUAGGGGGCUCUUGUCCAUGGCAAGUCAGUGAGUGGGGACAGCCAAACAGGUUUCAGAUAUCAAAUAAUAUUUUAAUUUCUGAAUACUUUCAAAUUUUCCUUGGAAUAUAACACACAAAGACUCGACCAAACAGUUCAGUUAUUAUAACUUUUACAGUAUACAGAAAUGUUGCACUUUAAAAAAAAAAACCUUCAGUUUUUUUUAAAACACAAACUGUAAACUCUAAGAUACUGAAUCAAUCACAUUAUCUAUAAGUGCCAACAGUGUUAUUUUGUCAUGCUGAUUUAAAUGGGUUUUUUUUUUAAAAAGGGAAUAUCAACAGUUAUAAUACAAAGGGUUUGCAAAUAUACAAACAGAUAGAGGAUUUUUCAUAACAAUUCAAGAACUAAGCGGGACCCAAUUCAAAUUACAAAAGUUCACUUUUUAUUCAAAACCUCAGCAUGUGUCUUGGACACAUUCCUUGGCUGCCAAUGAAUUCCACAGUUCAUUCUCUUUCUUAAAAUAUUUUUUUAAAAAGCUAGGUUUGUCUUGGUGUCUUUUUUUGGGUGGGGGGGGCGAGGAGGGGGGGUUAAGUGUUGUAUGUGGUUCUUGCAGAUGUCAAAUUAGCUCAACUUCACCUAAAAUUUUUGGCCAUCACCUAUAAGUGCGUUCCCAUCAGCUCUGAGUUUCCUUUUAAAAAGUUUUAAUGUCUUCCUAUGAUAUUUUCAUGGACUCAGUUUUAAUUCUUGCAGAACAUAUAUUUUAAGGAUACACAGUUUUUAAGAAGCCAAGAUUAUAUCAAAACUUAUUAUAGAACCACAGAGUAAACUGGUUUAGAACCAGGAAAAUACGAAAAGAGAACAGCUAGAGGUACAGACACAGGACAAUGAAUAAUUUGGAAAAAAAAAAAAAGACUUACUUUCUCCAUUCUGCUAAUUUUCUC